AUUGAACGCUGGCGGCAGGCCUAACACAUGCAAGUCGAACGGCAGCACAGAAGAGCUUGCUCUUUGGGUGGCGAGUGGCGGACGGGUGAGUAAUGUCUGGGAAACUGCCCGAUGGAGGGGGAUAACUACUGGAAACGGUAGCUAAUACCGCAUAACGUCGCAAGACCAAAGUGGGGGACCUUCGGGCCUCACACCAUCGGAUGUGCCCAGAUGGGAUUAGCUAGUAGGUGGGUAAUGGCUCACCUAGGCGACGAUCCCUAGCUGGUCUGAGCGGAUGACCAGCCACACUGGAACUGAGACACGGUCCAGACGCCUACGGGAGGCAGCAGUGGGGAAUAUUACACAAUGGGCGCAAGCCUGAUGCAGCCAUGCCGCGUGUAUGAAGAAGGCCUUCGGGUUGUAAAGUACUUUCCGCGGGGAGGAAGGCGGUGAGGUUAAUAACCUCGCCGAUUGACGUUACCCGCAGAAGAAGCACCGGCUAACUCCGUGCCAGCAGCCGCCGUAA
rnacentral:rRNA from 1 species